rnacentral:tRNA from 1 species
GAAACCAUCAUUUGAGGGUUCGAUUCCUUCCUUUYUUG